AAAUAGACUUCAUAAGGAUUCUAAUAAGUACUUGAAUGCCCAAAACGGAGUCUGGAUGUGGUCGUGGAGGCCGUUGCAAGUUGGCACAGAGCUGCAGUCCGAAUCCAGCCCCAAAACGUGUUGCAUUGAAUCUCUUUCUUUCCUUGGGCUAAAAGUGACGUGGUAGCCUGGUGAAGGAUGUUGGGAAUGCUUGGACUUAGCCCCCAAUCUACUUCUUUGGUCCUUCAUGCCUUUCAUGUGUGUUUAAUACUAUCUUUGAUCCACGUAUGUAUUUCUGAAAUUAAC
rnacentral:lncRNA from 1 species